AAGAUGACGAGUGGCGGACGGGUGAGUAAUGCUUGGGAACUUGCCUUCGGGAGGGGGAUAACAGUUGGAAACGACUGCUAAUACCGCAUAACGUCUACGGACCAAAGGGGGCUUCGGCUCCCACCUGAAGAGAGGCCCAAGUGAGAUUAGCUAGUUGGUAAGGUAAAGGCUUACCAAGGCGACGAUCUCUAGCUGUUCUGAGAGGAAGAUCAGCCACACUGGGACUGAGACACGGCCCAGACUCCUACGGGAGGCAGCAGUGGGGAAUAUUGCACAAUGGGGGAAACCCUGAUGCAGCCAUGCCGCGUGUGUGAAGAAGGCCUUCGGGUUGUAAAGCACUUUCAGUUGUGAGGAAAGGUUGGUAGUUAAUACCUGCCAGCUGUGACGUUAACAACAGAAGAAGCACCGGCUAACUCCGUGCCAGCAGCCGCGGUAAUACGGAGGGUGCGAGCGUUAAUCGGAAUUACUGGGCGUAAAGCGCACGCAGGCGGUUUGUUAAGCUAGAUGUGAAAGCCCCGGGCUCAACCUGGGAUGGUCAUUUAGAACUGGCAGACUAGAGUCUUGGAGAGGGGAGUGGAAUUCCAGGUGUAGCGGUGAAAUGCGUAGAUAUCUGGAGGAACAUCAGUGGCGAAGGCGGCUCCCUGGCCAAAGACUGACGCUCAUGUGCGAAAGUGUGGGUAGCGAACAGGAUUAGAUACCCUGGUAGUCCACACCGUAAACGCUGUCUACUAGCUGUUUGUGAAUUUAAUUCGUGAGUAGCGAAGCUAACGCGCUAAGUAGACCGCCUGGGGAGUACGGCCGCAAGGUUAAAACUCAAAUGAAUUGACGGGGGCCCGCACAAGCGGUGGAGCAUGUGGUUUAAUUCGAUGCA
rnacentral:rRNA from 1 species